UCCCACGUUCUCAGUCUCUCUAGUCUUUCACUCUUUGCCUCUGUUUCACUCAAAGAAAAACCAUUUUUUCACAAAACCCUUAAUCCUCGCAAGCUGUAUUUCCAAGCCUUCCCACUCGUUUCAAGCCUUAAUCGUUUGUUGCAAGCCUUCUCGCAAGUGUUGGUGUUACUAGCUAAGAAUCGUGUUGGCUUCAAAGUUUAUAUUCAUACUCUUUCUGUCUUCGUUUUGCAAUUGAGAGUUCAGGUCUUGAAGUGUUUUGGCUUGGUAUGAAUCUGUAGAACUUGAAUUGGAUGUUGAAUUGCUUUGACUUGCAGGUAAUAUACUUGGCUUGACAUAUUUGUUUAACAGAUUUGUAUUGGGAUGCAGAAUUGGUUUUGAGCUAGGUUUGAAGUUCGAUUUGGUUUGAGAAAUAACGUUCGUCAAAAAACAUUACGAAUAGGACGAGGGCUUUGCAGUUGAUUAGGGCUUGGGGUGAAUCUGAGGAUAUUGCUUAUCUUCCUGUUUUCAGUCAAACCUAUUUGG